rnacentral:rRNA from 1 species
GGGGUUACCCCCCGGGCGCCCCUGGGCCCCACCGCGGGCGCCCGCCGGAGGUCACCAAACUCUUGAUAAUUUAUGGCCUCUCUGAGUCUUCUGUACUGAAUAAGUCAAAACUUUCAACAACGGAUCUCUUGGUUCUGGCAUCGAUGAAGAACGCAGCGAAAUGCGAUAAGUAAUGUGAAUUGCAGAAUUCAGUGAAUCAUCGAAUCUUUGAACGCACAUUGCGCCCGCCAGCAUUCUGGCGGGCAUGCCUGUUCGAGCGUCAUUUCAACCAUCAAGCCCCCGGGCUUGUGUUGGGGACCUGCGGCUGCCGCAGGCCCUGAAAAGCAGUGGCGGGCUCGCUGUCGCACCGAGCGUAGUAGCAUACAUCUCGCUCUGGUCGCGCCGCGGGUUCCGGCCGUUAAACCACCUUUUAACCCAAGGUUGACCUCGGAUCAGGUAGGAAGACCCGCUGAACUUAAGCAUAUCAAUAAGCGGAGGAA